rnacentral:rRNA from 2 species
UAGGGAAUCUUCCGCAAUGGACGAAAGUCUGACGGAGCAACGCCGCGUGAGUGAAGAAGGUUUUCGGAUCGUAAAACUCUGUUGUCAGAGAAGAACAAGUUGGAGAGUAACUGCUCCAGCCUUGACGGUAUCUGACCAGAAAGCCACGGCUAACUACGUGCCAGCAGCCGCGGUAAUACGUAGGUGGCAAGCGUUGUCCGGAUUUAUUGGGCGUAAAGCGAGCGCAGGCGGUUCCUUAAGUCUGAUGUGAAAGCCCACGGCUCAACCGUGGAAGGUCAUUGGAAACUGGGGAACUUGAGUGCAGAAGAGGAGAGUGGAAUUCCAUGUGUAGCGGUGAAAUGCGUAGAUAUAUGGAGGAACACCAGUGGCGAAGGCGACUCUCUGGUCUGUAACUGACGCUGAGGCUCGAAAGCGUGGGGAGCAAACAGG